rnacentral:pre_miRNA from 1 species
AGUGGGAUAGCUGGGUCAAAUGGUGGUUCCAUCUAAGUUUUCUAAAGAAUCUCUAGACUGUUUUCCAGUGUGGUUGCACCAAUUUGCAGUCCCACCAGCAAU